GCGUGGUUUUCUUCUCAUAUGCCUGAUCCAAGACAAAUAGCAAUUCAAUCAGCAGAACAUCCCUAACAGGCAUCAUGGAAGUAAUAAUUUAAUAUCUUUAACAUUGAACAACCAGAGAUCCAUAAAAAAUGGAAUAAAAAAAAACUUUGGAAAUUAAGCAUCUAAACCCAAAGCUAGAAAAUUUCAAAGGAAGCGGCUAUUAUAAGCUAAUCUUAUAUGAAAAUAAGCUUAACAAUUGUUAGAUCAAAUAUUUACAUCUGAAUUCAUGCGCUCAUUAUACACAUUUUAGUUGAUUCAGCACAAAUCCGAAAACAAAUAUUUGAUGUCAUGGCUGUUAAACUUGUUCUCAUAUAAAGUUAAGCUUCUAUUAUAUGCACCCAAGUUCAAAAGGAGCCAAUUGAGCAUGUAGCACAAAAUGUAAUUCACGAAAGUCCAUCACCACAUUGAGUCAAAUUUAUGCCAAAUGCUUAUAUGACAAGUAAUCAAUUUUUAUUAUUACCAUUGAAGCUUCAUUUAAGUCCCACGGAUCCUUUUGUGCAUCCAGAAAUCAAGCACAAGAGACUUGCUUAAUGUUAAAAGAAACAAAUGCCAAAGCAUAAAAUCAGAUAGGAGUAGACCAAGUUAGGCAAAAGAAAAUACCUCAAUAGUAGUCGUAUUAACAG
rnacentral:misc_RNA from 1 species